rnacentral:lncRNA from 10 species
CUCACUGCCUGUGUAACUGUGGGCAAGGCGCUUGACCUCUGAGCCUCCAUUUCUCCUCUGUAAGAACGAAGGAGUAACAGCGCCUAGCUCGUGGAGGGUGGGGAGGGCUGCCCGAAACACACACACAGAGCUCAGAAUGCAUGCGGCCCUGAGGACGUGCGGAUAAAUGGCUACUUUGCUAUCACCCACAGAGUCUUCAAGGGCAGGGUGUCAGGCAUCCAGGGAAAGAGAAGACACUUCUACCGACUGGCGAGCCCACACUGCCACAGUGGAGAGCCAAGAGGGCCUUCGAGACUCAAACGGAGAGGCAAACGUGGAUCCCUUACCUUCUCACUGGAGAAUCCAAAGGCUUCGCUACAGCAGAGAAGCCCUGUGCGUGGCUGGGCUGAGCUUUGGCGCCACGGUCCCAUGUUGAAGCCUGGAGUGGCCACAGGGCACUUCUGAUCUCCUCAUAGGCCUCAGUUUCCUCAUCAGUGAAACCAGGGUGGAGAAGAAUGGUGUUACCUGCAGAGAUGUUGGGCUCAGAGAUGAGCAAGAUCAUGGAAGCAGAGCAUUAGCCCCUAGGAUGUUUGGUGCGUGUUUGCUGCUGUUACAAUGGCUGCGGGUAGGUGAACCCAUUUGUGUAAAGUUCAGCUGGAAUUGACAAACUCUGUUUUUGUCAUGAUCAGCAAUCCUGCUCCAAAACACAUGGCUCCCACCUGGGUACCUCCCCUCCCUUCCUCUGGCACUGAGGGCUGCCAAGGUCAGGGGUUUCAGAAGGUGGCAGUGAGAAUCAGCAGAGCCUCCACUGCUGUCAGCCAGCACUGCCCUGCAUCCAAACGACACAAGCAGUGGUAAGGCCUCCUGGGUGGGUCAGCUGGCAAGGAGCCCUGCCCUUGCUGUGGGCUCUGGGGGCGGCCACAGCCACUCUACAGCAGCCACAUGCAGGCAUCCUCUGGCUGUGGAGCAGCCGCUGGCCCAUGGCCGAAUGUGCACUCGGCUGUGUCUCAGGGGACAGCCUGGCCAGGCGGAGUCCAGGUCAGUGGAGGAGACAGGCUUCUGUCACCCAGCCCAGGCCCAGGGAGAGUAAGGCAUGGACAGGUGGCUAGCAGCCCCUACAGCAAGCAGCCAGGAUGGUCCCCCUGUGCACAGGAGUAGCCUCUCUGAGGUCAGUUCUAAGCCACACAUUCCCAAAAACAAGGCUGAAGGAGCCCCUCUGGGAGGUGGAGGCUCUCCCCUUAUACCUAGGGGUCCUGGGCCCACCCUAUCCCAUCUGUGCCUGGCAUCUUCCCCUCCUUGGAAGCUGCUAUUCCCUGAUUUGUCUCCCUUUGCCCUGGUGGCUCCUUUAGAGCUGGGUCACCUUUAUUUUUGUAUCCACAAGGCCUGGCACAGGUAGGGGUUAAUAAGUCCACCUGGCUGUCCACCAGUGCCUUGGGCAGUGCUGGCCCAGGAUGAUCGCACCUCGCUGAGACCCUCCCGACAGCUCUGGGGCCCGACAGCUCAGCAAGUGUGCUUCAGGCUCUGCCCAGGGCCACGGUCGGGCUCAGGAUGCAAAGACUCAGGAAGCCUCAGGAAGCCUCAGGAAGCCCCAGACUCGCAGCAAGGUGCGAGGUGAAAACACCUUAGGUUUCCACAGGGCCUUCAUCCCAAAGACUGCCCUCGCAUAAACUCUCCCACAUUCAGCACCCAGGGGAUGCUGCCAGAUCAGUCAUUCUCACCUCCACUGCAGGCCAAGGGCCCAGAGCUGCUGGACCAUGGGUCAGAGGCAAGCAGCACCUGGAAGCCACACCCCUCUCUCCUCCCCAGCACACCCCCAGCUACGACACAGUGCCCCGCAUGCCCCGAAAACCUGAUGGAGCUUUUCAAAUGCCUGAAAGGCUCACCUUGCUCCCAGGGGAAAACUGUGAGCCAGGUACACUCUGGCAGGGAGAAAAUAAAUCCUUCUGAACUUUGGUGCCCUUAUUUGUUGAUCACAACUCUCAUGUAUGCCUGUGGGUUUAAAUGAUGCCACUGUAAAAACCCAUUGCAUAUUUACUGAUUGGCGUGGGAGGCACCGCGCAGGGAGGCCUGGCUCCUGGAGGCUGACUGUGGAAUUACUGUGGAAGGAACUGGAGUUAAUAGUUCUUACCUGUGACUUUUAAACAAAGGCCAUCAGAGAAAGGGGAGAAAGGGAAGAAAGAGAUUUCAUGGAAUAAAGAAGCAAUACUAUUUUCCAAGUCAUGCUGUUAGCUAAGAAAAUUCUGUUUUCUAUAACGUAACUCUUCAUAGCAUGCAGGUAUAAGGAUGACAUGCCAAAUAUAAAUACCAUGAUGAAAAUGAGAUAUUCCUCCAUAUGCAUGUAUUACAUUUUGUGAAUUGUAUAGUAUGUGUUUUCUUCUUUGUAUUUAUAGUUCUGCAAUAAUUAUUACCUCACUAAAGGAUGUGAAUGACAUAAAAGUUGUAACCUGAUUCCUAAUUUUUUUCAGCUUACUUCUUGUAUUUAGGAGAAAUGUUUCUGUGUUUUGCCACUGAGGCGUCCUCUAGAAAUGAACUGCCCUUCUCGCUCCCCAGAGGAGACUGUGUCCUGCCCAGCCAGAUCACCGGGCCACUGUGGUCCCUUUGUGCAAGGGCCCUGGGGCCAGAGCCCCGCAGGAGUCUGAGAAGCUGUGCAUGCCAUAGACCAGGCUUGGAGGGAAAAGAGCUAGGAAAAUGUUUUAGGCUCAUUUUAGUUUCAAAAUUAAGUUUUGAGAUUCUUUUAACUAUCAGACAUUUCACUUAAAUUUCAUGUUAACAAUGUUUUAGGACUCGAUUCUAAAGCUACACAGGUACAAAUACCAAGUAACUCAGGCACAUGAAGCACUCAUCGUGGCUUCAUUUGUAAACGCAAAAGCUCUUUAUGAGCAGGGGUCUGGCUGGGUGAACCACAGUCUGCCCACAGUGGGGCCGAGACCCCGAGGUGGGCCAGGGACUGCUAUGCAAGGAUGAAAAGGGAGAGCUCAGAACGUGGUUAAGUGGGAAAUCAAGAUGCAGAAGUGUGUGUAUUCGAUGCUCACUUUUGCUAAGAAAGGAAGAGAAACAUGAGUAUGUUCUAGCAACUUGCUUGUAUUCAUAAAAAGAAACACUGGAGGAUAAACCAAAAUCUGCCCGGGAGGGAAGGGACAGAGUGAAGAGGACAAGGAUGUGAGAUGGAGGCUUCUUUCAAUAGAGCGUGCAAUAGGAUUAUGACUUUGGGGUCAGGUAAGUACCAUAUAUAUUUUUAAAAUACAAAAAGCAAGAACAACUCCUAAAAAUUAAAAAGAAACUGAAAUGAAUGAACCUGUGUGGUUGUUGACAUAUGCACCCAGAGAAAAUGGUUAUUUUAAGAGACUUUAGAACACAGUAUUUACACUACCCAUCCUUAAUGGAAAUCUUCUAGACAGCAGCAGACCUGUAAGGAGAUGGAACUUUAACCUCAUUCAGUAGUCUUGUCAUUCGUAGGAACAUGGGAUUGCUAACUGCUAAACCAUUGCAUAUAUAAUAGAUAAACCAUUUUAGAUAUAAAACAUAUAAUAUAAAUGCAUGGGUACGUGUGUAUUUUAUAUGUGUAUUAAAUGUAUUCACAAUUUUUACAUAUAUAUCUUGAUAAAGCAAAUAAAUUAGGUUACAGUUCUUAUCAAAUAAGAUUUUUAGAAGAUAAAAUAUUAUGAUGCAAAGGUGAAAUCCAAGUAUUAGGUAAAGUCGUUUUGAAGUUAAAUUUAAAUCAGAAGUAUUAGCUUCACUCAUGAUUUUGAAAAAUUCAUGUUUCCAGCUCUGUCUACUAAAAAUGUCUGCAAGGAAAUGUAACUCAUUGACAAUGGCCUCCCUAGAAAAAAAUAGAUAUAUGUACAAGUGUAGAUAUAACUGCUGUGUAUCUAUGAUUUGGGGAAUUAUUUCAAUGUUAAUCUUGUUAUAUUAAACAAUGUAAUUAACAAAAUAAAAACCAG